rnacentral:rRNA from 1 species
ACGAACGCUGGCGGCGUGCUUAACACAUGCAAGUCGAACGGAAAGGCCCUGCUUUUGUGGGGUGCUCGAGUGGCGAACGGGUGAGUAACACGUGAGUAACCUGCCCUUGACUUUGGGAUAACUUCAGGAAACUGGGGCUAAUACCGGAUAGGAGCUCCUGCUGCAUGGUGGGGGUUGGAAAGUUUCGGCGGUUGGGGAUGGACUCGCGGCUUAUCAGCUUGUUGGUGGGGUAGUGGCUUACCAAGGCUUUGACGGGUAGCCGGCCUGAGAGGGUGACCGGCCACAAUAGGACUGAGAGACGGACCAGACUCCUACGGGAGGCAGCAGUGGGGAACAUUGCAGAAUGGGCGGAAGCCUGAUGCAGCAACGCCGCGUGCGGGAUGACGGCCUUCGGGUGGUAAACCGCUUUCGCCUGUGACGAAGCGGGAGUGACGGUAACGGGUAAAGAAGCACCGGCUAACUACGUG